UAUGCCUACGGGAGGCAGCAGUGGGGAAUAUUGCACAAUGGGGGAAACCCUGAUGCAGCGACGCCGCGUGAGUGAAGAAGUAAUUCGUUACGUAAAGCUCUAUCAGCAGGGAAGAAAAUGACGGUACCUGAGUAAGAAGCCCCGGCUAACUACGUGCCAGCAGCCGCGGUAAUACGUAGGUGGCAAGCGUUAUCCGGAUUUAUUGGGUUUAAAGGGUGCGCAGGCGGCACGGCAAGCCGGCGGUCAAAUCGCGGGGCUCAACCCCGCCCAGCCGUC
rnacentral:rRNA from 1 species